rnacentral:rRNA from 1 species
CAGCCUGAUGCAGCGACGCCGCGUGAGGGAUGGAGGCCUUCGGGUUGUAAACCUCUUUUGUUUGGGAGCAAGCCUUCGGGUGAGUGUACCUUUCGAAUAAGCGCCGGCUAACUACGUGCCAGCAGCCGCGGUAAUACGUAGGGCGCAAGCGUUAUCCGGAUUUAUUGGGCGUAAAGGGCUCGUAGGCGGCUCGUCGCGUCCGGUGUGAAAGUCCAUCGCUUAACGGUGGAUCUGCGCCGGGUACGGGCGGGCUGGAGUGCGGUAGGGGAGACUGGAAUUCCCGGUGUAACGGUGGAAUGUGUAGAUAUCGGGAAGAACACCGAUGGCGAAGGCAGGUCUCUGGGCCGUCACUGACGCUGAGGAGCGAAAGCGUGGGGAGCGAACAGGAUUAGAUACC